CCUGGCUCUGCAGAAAAACAGGACAGACAUGCGGCGCAUGCUCUGAAAGUAAUCCACAUUGAACCAUCAUAGAAGCAAUACCUCUUGCAGCUACCUGGGAACACAGCGGAUACCUCUUGACAUUCUGAUUUUGCAGAGUGGAAGCUCCCCCCACUUUGCGUAUCCUGAAAACCUGAAGGGCACACGUGCCGAACGGGCAACGGCUGCCCGGUGGAAUGAGAUGACCCGAGUGCUCCAAGGCAAGGGCUUGCAGCAUGCAGCACGUGAAAUGAGGCAUUCGGAUUUUCUGAACAUGCCAAUCGAUGUCAGAAAGCGAUAUGACACUGCAUCUCACAGAAAAGAUACAAAGGUUCAUAA